rnacentral:rRNA from 1 species
AUUGAACGCUGGCGGCAGGCCUAACACAUGCAAGUCGAGCGGAUGAAGGGAGCUUGCUCCUGGAUUCAGCGGCGGACGGGUGAGUAAUGCCUAGGAAUCUGCCUGGUCGUGGGGGAUAACGUCCGGAAACGGGCGCUAAUACCGCAUACGUCCUGAGGGAGAAAGAGGGGGAUCUUCGGACCUCACGCUAUCAUAUGAGCCUAGGUCGGAUUCGCUAGUUGGUGGGGUAAAGGCCUACCAAGGCGACGAUCCGUAACUGGUCUGAGAGGAUGAUCAGUCACACUGGAACUGAGACACGGUCCAGACUCCUACGGGAGGCAGCAGUGGGGAAUAUUGGACAAUGGGCGAAAGCCUGAUCCAGCCAUGCCGCGUGUGUGAAGAAGGUCUUCGGAUUGUAAAGCACUGUAAGUUGGGAGGAAGGGCAGUAAGUUAAUACCUUGCUGUUUUGACGUUACCAACAGAAUAAGCACCGGCUAACUUCGUG